GACGAACGCUGGCGGCGUGCUUAACACAUGCAAGUCGAACGGAAAGGCCCUGCUUUUGUGGGGUGCUCGAGUGGCGAACGGGUGAGUAACACGUGGGUAACCUGCCCUUGACUUUGGGAUAACUUCAGGAAACUGGGGCCAAUACCGGAUAGGAGCUCCUGCUGCAUGGUGGGGGGUGGAGAGUUUCGGCGGUUGGGGAGGGACUCGCGGCUUAUCAGCUUGUUGGUGGGGUAGUGGCUUACCAAGGCUUUGACGGGUCGCCGGCCUGAGGGGGGGACCGGCCAAAUUGGGACUGAGAUACGGCCCGAACUCCUCCGGGAGGAAGCAGUGGGGAAUAUUGAACAAUGGGCGGAAGCCUGAUGCAGCAACGCGGCGGGGGGGAUGACGGCUUUCGGGUUGUAAACCGCUUUCGCAUGUGACGAAGGGUGAGUGACGGUAAUGGGUAAAGAAGCACCGGCUAACUACGUG
rnacentral:rRNA from 1 species